UACGGGGGGGGCAAGCGUUGUUCGGAAUUACUGGGCGUAAAGGGUUCGUAGGUGGCCAACUAAGUCAGACGUGAAAUCCCUCAGCUUAACUGGGGAACUGCGUCUGAUACUGGUUGGCUUGAGUGCAGGAGAGGAAUGCGGAAUUCCAGGUGUAGCGGUGAAAUGCGUAGAUAUCUGGAGGAACACCGGUGGCGAAGGCGGCAUCCUGGACCGAGAUUGACGCUGAGGCGCGAAAGCCAGGGGAGCAAACGGG
rnacentral:rRNA from 1 species